UGGCUCAGGACGAACGCUGGCGGCGUGCUUAACACAUGCAAGUCGAACGCUGAAGCACCAGCUUGCUGGUGUGGAUGAGUGGCGAACGGGUGAGUAAUACGUGAGUAACCUGCCCUUGACUCUGGGAUAAGCCCGGGAAACUGGGUCUAAUACUGGAUGCUACAUGUCACCGCAUGGUGGUGUGUGGAAAGGGUUUACUGGUCUUGGAUGGGCUCACGGCCUAUCAGCUUGUUGGUGAGGUAAUGGCUCACCAAGGCGACGACGGGUAGCCGGCCUGAGAGGGUGACCGGCCACACUGGGACUGAGACACGGCCCAGACUCCUACGGGAGGCAGCAGUGGGGAAUAUUGCACAAUGGGCGAAAGCCUGAUGCAGCGACGCCGCGUGAGGGAUGACGGCCUUCGGGUUGUAAACCUCUUUCAGCAGGGAAGAAGCCACAAGUGUAC
rnacentral:rRNA from 1 species